GUCCUGGAAAAGACCUUGACACUUUCGCUGCUAUUGUAGCAGCCAUUACUGCUGCAGACAUUGUGUCUGCAGUGUCUGGAGUUAUCCUCCCCCAAUCUAUUGUUAGACGACAAGUACAGUGGGUGAACUUUCUGGAGUAGUUACUAACAAUUGGAAAUUCUAAAUUUCAUUAUAGGAGUGGCUUGACCACGGCCCUUGGUGACAACAGCUGAGGAGGACCAUAUGAGGUGCCCACUACUUAUCGGGAGUGGCUCUGUCUGAUGCAGCCCUAUGCUGUGGAUCAGUGUUCAUACUAUGGUUGGUUUACAAACUCAGAUCUCAACAGUAACAUGACAAGGCCGUUAUCACUCAAGCACUUGCAGCCAUUUGAACAAAGGGCCUCACCUGGAAUUUGGUUAUCUUGUUCAGGAUUUACUCUGUAUUUGAGUUCCCUGCUCCUGCACCCCAUGGACCUGUGGGUCCAUUACACUGGGAGGAGAGGGAUACUCUCUGUAUCUGAGUUCUCUGCUCCUGCACCCCAUGGAUCUGUGGAUCCAUUACACUGGGAUUGAGAGAGACUCAGUGUUCCUUUGAUCAGCCCUUGCACAUCGCUGAGGUUUCCUCAUUGCACGCGAUAGGGUGAUCAUUUCUGCUAUAAAAUUAUAAUUAUAAGGGUGAGAUGUAGAGGGCCGCAAUAACAUGCGCGACCAUUAGAUGGCGCUGGCUUCCACUGCGCCCCACGUGGAAGGCCAAGUCAGUCAAGAUGGCGCCAGCCUUCGCUGCGCCAGCUGGCCCCCCUAUCAGGAAGUUAACUGUGCGCAUGUGCAAGAGUGCCUUCCUGCCAGGUCUUUGCCCAUUCCGGGGCGUGCCUGAUGAGAUCAUGAGUAAACAACCAAUCAGGUGUGGAUGCGUGCCCGAGGGUUAAAUAGGCACGCCUGGCUGGCGCGUGGGGCUUCUCCAUGAGAUAGGAAUAAAGUAUCACUCAUAGCAAG
rnacentral:lncRNA from 1 species